rnacentral:sRNA from 1 species
GUUUGCGGAAGAAUUAAAG